rnacentral:tRNA from 1 species
GCUCCCAUAGCUUAAGGGUAAAGCAGCCGUUUUAUAAGCGGUAUUAGCGCCAGAUUAGCGCGAGAUGAAGGUUCGAAUCCUUCUGGGAGUACCA